rnacentral:rRNA from 1 species
UACGUAGGUGGCAAGCGUUGUCCGGAAUUAUUGGGCGUAAAGCGCGCGCAGGCGGUCCCUUAAGUCUGGUGUGAAAGCCCACGGCUCAACCGUGGAGGGUCAUUGGAAACUGGGGGACUUGAGUACAGAAGAGGAAAGCGGAAUUCCACGUGUAGCGGUGAAAUGCGUAGAGAUGUGGAGGAACACCAGUGGCGAAGGCGGCUUUCUGGUCUGUAACUGACGCUGAGGCGCGAAAGCGUGGGGAGCAAACAGG